rnacentral:rRNA from 1 species
CAGCCGCCGCGGUAAUACGGAGGAUCCAAGCGUUAUCCGGAAUCAUUGGGUUUAAAGGGUCCGUAGGCGGUCUUGUAAGUCAGUGGUGAAAGCCCAUCGCUCAACGGUGGAACGGCCAUUGAUACUGCAGGACUUGAAUUAUUGGGAAGUAACUAGAAUAUGUAGUGUAGCGGUGAAAUGCUUAGAGAUUACAUGGAAUACCAAUUGCGAAGGCAGGUUACUACCAAUUGAUUGACGCUGAUGGACGAAAGCGUGGGUAGCGAACAGGAUUAGAUACCCGCGUAGUCCCUGUCUCUUAUAA